rnacentral:lncRNA from 1 species
UUCAAGUUCAGACUCAACUCUAAAAGGCUUAAAAGAAAAUCAUGUUACGAAGAUCUGCAAAGUCCCUAAAGCAUUCACAAUACUAAGAAAAACAUAAGUACUCGUAAACUAAAACUGGAGAUACUUAGCUCCUAAUUAUUCUUACCCUCACCAAGAAAUAGUUUUGAGAUCAUGACACUGAAGAUGACAAGGAGCCAUAAAGAGG